AUGGAAAGCUUGCUGCAUUGGGAUUUUGCUCCGGGCCUAGCCCUUGCAGAUCAGGUGAGAAGGAAAUUUGGGUCCACCAUUCAUUUCUCCCCUUCUCGAGACGCCCAAGAGUUCUUUUUGGUCGUUUAUUUCUCUUCGGCCUCCUUCCCUCUCUCUGUUGAAACAGUGGGGAUUGCUUUGCAAUGUGUCUUGGAGGGAUUUCUUCUGGCUUCAGGGUGUCUCAGAUCAAUGCCCGGUCUUUUCGCUUCUCGGUGGCUAAUAACAAAGUGGGACAUUUUGUUUAUGGACUCAAAGACCGUAUUUGGCCUGAAUUUGUUUGCCAUUUCCAUCUGUUCAAUGGCUGUUUUGUCAAAGCUUAUUCUAUUGAUCGACAUUGGCAUGUUGAUACAGAGCUGGCUGAAAUUGUGGACCGGAAAUCUAUAG
rnacentral:rRNA from 1 species